rnacentral:lncRNA from 1 species
UCAUGUGCCAACUUCCUCCAUCCUUAUCCCUUUCUUUUGUAGCCCCUUUUGUGAGUUAUUUCAUGCUCUCCAUAAAAUUUAUGAGGGAGGGGGUGUCCAAGAGUUGGACGCCCCAUGGACUCCUUGUUAGACUAGGUUUUAUGACCUAGUCUACCAUAUAAAAAGUUGCCGCCCCAUAUGCUAUGAAAUAGGAGUCAAAAAUUCAUGGCUUUUAGAUAGAAAUAGUAGAGGAGAAAGAGGAAGGCAUGGGUAGUUUGAGGUGCCAAAAUCCUUAGAGGAGAGUCUUCAAUCAAGAGAUCAAAGGUUGAUAUCUUGUAGAGAGAAAGGUAAGAGAAAAGAUUGUCUUCUCUCAUU